AUCUACCACCUUCCUCUGAGCACCAAUCACCACCACCAACAACCAACAUGAAAGCCUUCAUCGUAGUGUCUGCUCUCGUGGCGUGUGCUCUCGCUGGAGAAGAAGUGCGUGAGAAGCGCGGCUACUUGCACGGUGGCUACUCCGGUUACAGCGGUCUGGGUGGCUACUCUGGCAGCAGCGGCUUGGGUGGCUACUCUGGCAACAGCGGUCUUGGAGGCUACUCAUCGGGUUACAGCGCUCCCGCGGCACACGUCGUCUCUGUGAACAAGGUGGUGAACACCCAGCGUGUGGUGAGCGUGCCUCAGGUUGUGAGCGUGCCCAAGGUUGUGUCCGUGCCUCAGGUGGUGACCGUUAACCAGGUAGUGGCCGCGCCCAGCUACUCCUCUGGCGGAUACAGUUCUGGCCUGGGCGGUUCUGGAUACAGCUCUGGCCUUGGCGGUUCUGGAUACAGAUCCGGAUAUGGCUCCGGCUAUAGUUCUGGCUAUGGGUCUGGAUAUUCCAGCCGCUGGUGAGUUCUAGUCACGGACUCAUUGUGAAUCUACUUCAUAGAUUUUGUGGUUAAAUGUUAUAUUUAUUAUCUGAAUUUAUUAUUUAUAAUAAAUAUCUAUUUUAGUAAAAUA